GACGAACGCUGGCGGCGUGCUUAACACAUGCCAGUCGAACGGUGAAGCUCCAGUUUGCUGGAGUGGAUCAGUGGCGAACGGGUGAGUAACACGUGAGCAACCUGCCCCUGACUCUGGAAUAAGCGCUGGAAACGGCGUCUAAUACUGGAUACGAGAAGGGUCCGCAUGGGCACUUUCUGGAAAGUUUUUCGGUUGGGGAUGGGCUCGCGGCCUAUCAGCUUGUUGGUGAGGUAAUGGCUCACCAAGGCGACGACGGGUAGCCGGCCUGAGAGGGCGACCGGCCACACUGGGACUGAGACACGGCCCAGACUCCUACGGGAGGCAGCAGUGGGGAAUAUUGCACAAUGGGCGAAAGCCUGAUGCAGCGACGCCGCGUGAGGGAUGACGGCCUUCGGGUUGUAAACCUCUUUCAGCAGGGAAGAAGCGAAAGUGACGGUACCUGCAGAAGAAGCACCGGCUAACUACGUG
rnacentral:rRNA from 1 species